rnacentral:rRNA from 1 species
GCGUCUGGAAAGGCGCGCGAUACAGGGUGACAGCCCCGUACACAAAAAUGCACAUACUGUGAGCUCGAUGAGUAGGGCGGGACACGUGGUAUCCUGUCUGAAUAUGGGGGGACCAUCCUCCAAGGCUAAAUACUCCUGACUGACCGAUAGUGAACCAGUACCGUGAGGGAAAGGCGAAAAGAACCCCGGCGAGGGGAGUGAAAAAGAACCUGAAACCGUGUACGUACAAGCAGUGGGAGCCUCUUUUAUGGGGUGACUGCGUACCUUUUGUAUAAUGGGUCAGCGACUUAUAUUCUGUAGCAAGGUUAACCGAAUAGGGGAGCCGAAGGGAAACCGAGUCUUAACUGGGCGUUAAGUUGCAGGGUAUAGACCCGAAACCCGGUGAUCUAGCCAUGGGCAGGUUGAAGGUUGGGUAACACUAACUGGAGGACCGAACCGACUAAUGUUGAAAAAUUAGCGGAUGACUUGUGGCUGGGGGUGAAAGGCCAAUCAAACCGGGAGAUAGCUGGUUCUCCCCGAAAGCUAUUUAGGUAGCGCCUCGUGAAUUCAUCUCCGGGGGUAGAGCACUGUUUCGGCAAGGGGGUCAUCCCGACUUACCAACCCGAUGCAAACUGCGAAUACCGGAGAAUGUUAUCACGGGAGACACACGGCGGGUGCUAACGUCCGUCGUGAAGAGGGAAACAACCCAGACCGCCAGCUAAGGUCCCAAAGUCAUGGUUAAGUGGGAAACGAUGUGGGAAGGCCCAGACAGCCAGGAUGUUGGCUUAGAAGCAGCCAUCAUUUAAAGAAAGCGUAAUAGCUCACUGGUCGAGUCGGCCUGCGCGGAAGAUGUAACGGGGCUAAACCAUG